CCCCCACCCCCCGAGGACAUGACCUUACACUAUCAUCCCCCGCCGCGGCUACUAUCCCUCCAACCGACUAUGGAGAGUAGUGACGCACACACGCACCAUUACGUAAUACGCAAACAGAUGCAAACUAGAUAGCAACAGAGUAAACCCCAUACGGAAUGCUAGCUAGAAUACGUAAAAAGGUGUAGUGUACAGAGUAAACAAGAGAGCGGGAGGUACCAACUCCCGGUGGAAAAACCUGAAAGUAGGCCUAGAGUACGUAAAAAGGUGUACAGAGUAAACAAAAGAGCAGGAGGUACCAACUCCCGGUGGAAAAAUCUGAAAGUAGGCUUUGAUGCGCCCGAGGUCAACUGCUACCAACUCUUGCACGUCCCGACCGGUGUUGCUUAGCUCUUCACUCCCAAACGCCGCAAACUGGCCUCGCCGCCGCGACUAGUACAUGGGACAAGUUUUCCUGAAGCUUAUCGGAGCAGGUAGUUCCUCUGCGUCCUGCCGAAAACCUGAACGGGAGUCGCCGGAAGUAUUGUAGCUUGCUGGAAAUCCUCGCCGGAAAAUAAUGCAUCUGUCCAAGAAAACAGAACACACGCACACACACCCUGCUUUUGAGAGAAUAGGAAAAACAGAAAGAGAACCCACAAAAAGGUACAAAAAGACAAGUUCUUUACUGGAAAAGCAACAGAAAAUGAAACAUACAAGCCAAUCGAUCACAUAUGUCUCAAUUCUAAAACUUGUUGGGGUUAACUAUUACUCAAAAAAGCAAAACAAAGUUGAACUCAAACCAAACAUUCAAAUAUGACCGGAUCCCAAAUUACCUAAACACAAACCAAAAGUUGAAAAAGAUAAAAACUGUACUAAAACUGAAGUCAGAAAAGGAACAAGAAAGUACAAGUGUGGAAUGUUAAGAUAAUAAAAAGAGAUCUGAAAUCUUAUACGCACGAACGGAUUAUCAAAGUGUCGGUCAAGAGAUUAGUACUUCAUAAAUUCUCCUACUUGUAGCAAGAAAUUAGUCAAUGUUGCAAAUGAGCAACAGAUACAUGUAAAAAAUUGCAAGAUUUUCAGCUAAAAGAAAAGAAGCUUUCAAAUUUAGUGAGAUAGGAACAAAAUAAUGAAUGUCCAAACAACAAGGUCCUACCAAAUAUCACUUUCAUACAUAUAACAUAAAAACAAACCCAACAAGAAACUGCAACAACUAAACAAAAUAGUAGCUCAAAAUAUGCAGUACCCAAAAGUAGAGAAAAUCCAAGCUUUAUCUAACAGAUAGAUUCCCCAACGAUGCACCAAAAGAAUGAUCAAAUAUCACAAAUGGGCAACUUAUAAAUGCAAUUUUCAGCUAAAAACAUAAGCUUAACAGCAACAACCGAACAAAUUAGCUGAAAAUAAGCAGUACCUAGAAAUAGAGAAGAUCCAAGCUUUAUCCAAGAAAAUCGUACUUCAUAAAUUCCCCCCAACUUUGAAACAAGAAAUGGAUCAAAGAUGGCAAAUAGGCAACUGAUAAGAUGUAAUUUUCAGCUAAAACACCAAGCUUUAAAAUUGCGUUGCUCUGUUCAAGAAUGGAGUUAGGAGAAAUCCCCAACUUUGAAACAAUAAAUGGAUCAAAGAUUGCAAAUAGGCAACUGAUAAGAUGUAAUUUUCAGCUAAAAAACCAAGCAUAAAAAUUGCGAUGCUCUGUUCAAAUAGGAUUUCAACAUGGAGUUCACAAACCCUAGACUUUCGAAAAACCCAAACAGAAUGAAACAAAAACACAAUCAAUCCACAAUAUAAAAGCAAGUAGAUACGUGUAUAUGUACACGCUAAAUAUACACAGUAAAGAAAGUGUACUACGUAAGUAAUGAUCACAGAAAGAGAUGUACGUUGAGUCACCGACGAGUUACGACUGAGUUGACUCGGAUCAGGGGGUAGGAUGCUUACUGGGGUUCGAUGGUUACCAGUUGUACGCCAGCACUGGCAGUGGUAGGGGGGUUAGGGGGGUUGAGAUAGAGAGACAUUAGACAUAGAGACGUUAGACAGAGAGAGACUCUUAGCCAAACUAAAGUAAAAAAUAUAAUGAUUACUAAAGCUAUUCACUACUAUCUUCAUUGACUUUGAGUCGUUUUGCUCCGCGUGCAAUUUUCGGCUACCGUCUAAAGCCAAAGAUAUUGAGAAAAUUAGUGCACGGGAGACAGUAACCUUAGGGUGUGCAAUUUUGCGGUAUGACGAUGAACCUAGUGGCGGUGAGCCAAAACGACUCAAAGUCGACGAGGAUAAUAGUGAGUAGCUUUAGUAAUCAUUAUGUUUUGACUUUAAUUUGACUAAACUAAAGAGUUUUGAUAAAAACUAUUGUCAAUAUUCAAUGCAGAAAAACUAGCUGGAUUAGUUGAUGAUGUUGAAGAUUUUUGAAGGCUGGUUUCUCUAGCCUAUAGGAAGCAUAAGCCGGAUCGUCCUUUUAGAAAUGCCAUCAAGAAUAACUAUACAUUGCUUCGUAACUUGUUUAGAUUCAAGAGAUAUCAAUAUGCUAACCCUAGAUAUUUCAAUUUUUUGGUAUAUUUAUUCUUCGCUUUUUGUUAAGGAAGUUUUACGAUUUCAUCGACUAAAAGGGUUAUCAAAUGAAUAUUAAUUACAAUUGAAACGAUCGAAAAAGGGUCUCAGGGAAUUCGUUGAAAAUGUAUCUAGGUUAAUAUACCAGGCUAGUUGCUUUUUUGAACUAUAAUUUUAUAUACAAUACCGAAAUCGCCUGCAUAACAAUAGUAGAACUUUUAGAACACAUCAUUUUAUCGUAAGAUAAUAAAAUAAAAGUAGUAUAAAUAGAUGAAAAUUUUAGUUUAAACAUUCAUAAAUUAGAAGAUACAAAGCCUAAAUUACGUCAAGAAAUUGAGAAACCUAACCUCAGUAGUAUAUAUUCAGACAAUAAGGUAGUUGGAUGUACAAUAUCAUCGCAUAUCCUUUCCAGAUAUCAUAUAUCAUGAAUUCGAGGAGUAUCGCUGGAUGUGGGUGUGUGGCUGUGUUUUCCGGCGGGCUGUUGUGAAUGGGAAGAAGCAGAAGCGGAUGGAGAUCGGGUUGGGUCUUGUUUC
rnacentral:lncRNA from 1 species